GGGGAGGUAAUCCCGUAAACCCCGCCCCAGUAGGGAUCGAGGGCUGCAACUCGCCCUCGUGAACGUGGAAUCCCUAGUAACCGCGUGUCACCAACGCGCGGUGAAUACGUCCCUGCCCCUUGCACACACCGCCCGUCGCGCCACCCGAGGGAGCCCCCAACGAGGCUCCUUCAUCCUUGGGUUACCCCAAGGAUGGGGGAGACGAGUUGGGGGCUCCCGAGGGGGGCGAAGUCGUAACAAGGUGGCCGUAGGGGAACCUGCGGCCGGAUCACCUCCU
rnacentral:rRNA from 1 species